rnacentral:rRNA from 1 species
AUCUGAUUCCAGCUGCCGAGAAAAGCCGCUAUUGUGUAUCAUGUGCCCGUACCGUAAACCGACACAGGUGGAUGAGGAGAGAAUCCUAAGGCCGGCGGGAGAAGCAUUGUUAAGGAACUCGGCAAAAUGACCCCGUAACUUCGGGAUAAGGGGUGCCAGAGAGAUCUGGCCGCAGAGAAUAGGCUCAAGCAACUGUUUAGCAAAAACACAGGUCUAUGCGAAACCGUAAGGUGAUGUAUAUGGGCUGACGCCUGCCCGGUGCUGGAAGGUUAAGAGGAGAGGUUAGAGCAAUCGAAGCUUUGAAUUGAAGCCCCAGUAAACGGCGGCCGUAACAAUAACGGUCCUAAGGUAGCGAAAUUCCUUGUCGGGUAAGUUCCGACCCGCACGAAAGGCGUAACGAUUUGAGCGCUGUCUCGACAAUGCACCCGGUGAAAUUGAAAUACCAGUGAAGAUGCUGGUUACCUGCGCCAGGACGGAAAGACCCCAUGGAGCUUUACUCCAGCUUGAUACUGGGAUUCGGUAAUGCAUGCACAGGAUAGGUGGGAGGCUACGAGUACGGAACUCCGGUUUCGUAUGAGCCGCUGUUGGGAUACCACCCUUGCGUUACUGGGUUUCUAACCAUGGUCCAUGAUCUGGAUCGGGGACAAUGUCAGGUGGGGAGUUUGACUGGGGCGGUCGCCUCCGAAAGGGUAUCGGAGGCGCUCAAAGGUUCCCUCAGAAUGGUUGGAAACCAUUCGAAGUGUGCAAAGGCAGAAGGGAGCUUGACUGCGAGACCGACGGGUCGAGCAGGUAGGAAACUAGGACUUAGUGAUCCGGUGGUAUGAAAGUGGGAUUGCCAUCGCUCAACGGAUAAAAGCUACCCUGGGAUAACAGGCUUAUCACUCCCAAGAGUUCACAUCGACGGAGUGGUUUGGCACCUGAUGUCGGCUCAUCGCAUCCUGGGGCUGAAGUAGGUCCCAAGGGUUGGGCUGUUCGCCCAUUAAAGCGGUACGCGAGCUGGGUUCAGAACGUCGUGAGACAGUUCGGUCCCUAUCCGGCGCAGGCGGAGGAUAUUUGAGAGGAGCUGUCCUUAGUACGAGAGGACCGGGAUGGACGGACCGCUGGUGUACCGGUUGAGCUGCUAAGCUCAUGGCCGGGUAGCCAAGUCUGGCAGGGAUAAGCGCUGAAGGCAUCUAAGCGUGAAGCCCCCCUCAAGAUGAGAUAUCCCAUUCGAAGGAAGUAAGACCCCUUGAAGACGACGAGGUAGAUAGGGCAGAGGUGGAAGUGCAGUAAUGCAUGGAGCUGACUGUUACUAAUCGGUCGAGGGCUUACC